UACAGAGGGUGCAAGCGUUAAUCGGAGUUACUGGGCGUAAAGGGUGCGUAGGCGGUUAGUUAAGUGAGAUGUGAAAUCCCUGGGCUUAACCUGGGAACUGCAUCUUAAACUGGUUAGCUAGAGUACUGUAGAGGGUAGUGGAAUUUCCGGUGUAGCGGUGAAAUGCGUAGAGAUCGGAAGGAACACCAGUGGCGAAGGCGGCUACCUGGACAGAUACUGACGCUGAGGCGCGAGAGCGUGGGGAGCAAACAGG
rnacentral:rRNA from 1 species